rnacentral:rRNA from 1 species
AGAGUUUGAUCAUGGCUCAGAAUGAACGUUGGCGGCGUGGAUUAGGCAUGCAAGUCGAACGAGAUCUGUAGCAAUACAGUGAAAGUGGCGAAAGGGAGAGUAAUACGUAGGUACCUGCCCUCGGGUCUGGGAUAGCUGCGGGAAACUGCAAUUAAUACCGGAUGACGUCUCUGGACCAAAGGUGUGAUUCCGCCAGGGGAUGGGCCUGCGUCCUAUCAGCUAGUUGGUGUGGUAAUGGCGCACCAAGGCAAAGACGGGUACGGGGUGUGAGAGCAUGCCCCCGCUCACUGGGACUGAGAUACUGCCCAGACACCUACGGGUGGCUGCAGUCGAGAAUCUUCCGCAAUGGGCGCAAGCCUGACGGAGCGACGCCGCGUGUGGGAUGAAGGCCUUCGGGUUGUAAACCACUGUCAGUGGGGAGCAAGUGCAUCAGGGUUCUCCCUGGUGUUGAGCGAUCCGCAGAGAG